rnacentral:misc_RNA from 1 species
GCUCAUGGCCCUAGACGAUAAGGACCAUCACCCAUAUAGUGACCAUCCAUAUAGAGAGCUGCACUCUGUGGAUGUAGACCAUCCAUCACCAUGAAUUGCAUGUCUUCUGAUGGCUUCCAAUGACGUUUUCUUUGAUUUAUGAACCAAUUAUUUAUUUGCUUCUGGUCCAAACCCGUUGAUUCAGCUAAGGCCACCUUCUCUGUCUCUGAAGGAUAUGGCCAUUUGUAGUGUAACUCCCACCAGCUAAGUAGCUUCUGCCUGGCUUCUUUGGGUAGUUUUCCUUUCUUCUUCUUCUUAGAAAGUUCCUGCUUAAGACUGCUUAAAUAACCACU